UACAGAGGGUGCGAGCGUUAAUCGGAAUUACUGGGCGUAAAGCGUGCGUAGACGGUCAUGUAAGUCGGGUGUGAAAGCCCCGGGCUCAACCUGGGAAUUGCAUUCGAGACUGCAAGGCUAGGGUGCGGAAGAGGGAAGCGGAAUUUCCGGUGUAGCGGUGAAAUGCGUAGAUAUCGGAAGGAAUAUCAGUGGCGAAAGCGGCUUCCUGGUCCAGCACCGACGUUCAGGCACGAAAGCGUGGGGAGCAAACAGG
rnacentral:rRNA from 1 species